AGAGUUUGAUCCUGGCUCAGAAUGAACGCUGGCGGCGUGCCUAACACAUGCAAGUCGAAUGUGCCGCAAGGUGCAUGGCAGACGGGUGAGUAACGCGUAGGGAAUCUACCUCUUUGUGGGGAAUAACGCUCCGAAAGGAGUGGUAAUACCGCAUGAGACCGUGGUCUGGGAUGACUACGGUGAAACCUGGGGACCGCAAGGCCUGGGGCAAGGAGCGGAUCCUGCGUCUGAUUAGCUAGUUGGCGGGGUAAUGGCCCACCAAGGCGACGAUCAGUAGCCGGCCUGAGAGGGUGAUCGGCCACACUGGAACUGAGACACGGUCCAGACUCCUACGGGAGGCAGCAGUGGGGAAUUUUGCGCAAUGGACGAAAGUCUGACGCAGCAACGCCGCGUGGGUGAUGAAGGUCUUCGGACUGUAAAACCCUGUCGUCAGGGACGAAGGCUGAGGGGUUAAUAACCUUUUAGCUUGACGGUACCUGGAGAGGAAGCCCCGGCUAACUCUGUGCCAGCAGCCGCGGUAAUACAGAGGGGGCAAGCGUUAUUCGGAAUUAUUGGGCGUAAAGGGCGCGUAGGCGGUUUUUUAAGUCAGAUGUGUAAUCCCCGAGCUUAACUUGGGAACCGCAUCUGA
rnacentral:rRNA from 1 species